GACGAACGCUGGCGGCGUGCUUAACACAUGCAAGUCGAACGGAAAGGCCCUGCUUUUGUGGGGUGCUCGAGUGGCGAACGGGUGAGUAACACGUGAGUAACCUGCCCUUGACUUUGGGAUAACUUCAGGAAACUGGGGCUAAUACCGGAUAGGAGCUCCUGCUGCAUGGUGGGGGUUGGAAAGUUUCGGCGGUUGGGGAUGGACUCGCGGCUUAUCAGCUUGUUGGUGGAGUAGUGGCGUACGAAGGCUUUGACGGGUAGCCGGCCUGGGAGGGUGGCCGGCCACAUUAGGACUAAGAUACGGCCCAGAAGGCUACGGGAGGCAACGGUGGGAAGUAUUACGCAGUAGGCGGGAGCCAGAUACGGAAGCGCCGCGUGCGGAAUGACGGCCUUCGGGUUGUGAACCACUUUCGCCUGUAACAAAGCGUGAGUGACGGUAAUGGGUAAAGAAGCACCGGCUAACUACGUG
rnacentral:rRNA from 1 species